ensembl:snoRNA U8 U8 small nucleolar RNA
UCGUCAGGUAGGAUAAUCCUUACCUGUUUCUCCUUUUGGAGAACAGAAUGGAAUAUGAUGAUUGGAGCUCGCAUGAUUUCGUGAUUAACGGCUGUGCGUAAUCGGGACUUGCAACAUCCUGAUUGCUCCUUUCUGAU